rnacentral:lncRNA from 1 species
AGACACCAUUCCAGGGAUGGGAGAUGGGUGGAAGAAGGAUAGCGCUCCGCCACCCCCACACAACUCGAAAGUUUUUGGAAACUGUGAACUGAGAAAUAUUUUUUCAUGAUGGCUCCGCAAACAAACCAAUUCUGACAAUUUUUACUUAAAGUGAGCUUUUUCUUCUUGCAUGCUUGGUUAAGUGAUGAAGGGUUUAUCUAGCCAAUAGAAAAACUUGAAACCACCUUCUGUUAGAAAAGCAGAGACUUUAUUUAGAUCCCUCUUACCCAACUUGCUCUCCCAAGCUGUGUUCUUCCCAGCCUGCUUGUCUUGCCCCCGUCACAAACGACUUAGUAAUAUAAAGUGGGACACUGUCACCCAGGAGUGGUCAAAGCUGCCCUGAAACAGAUGGAACUGCUAAAUACAAAUUCUCGAUUCCUCCACGACAACAUUGUUGAGUAUGCCAAACGCCUUUCAGCAACUCUGCCGGAGAAACUCUCUGUUUGUUAUUUUACAAAUUCAGGAUCCGAAGCCAACGACUUAGCCUUACGCCUGGCUCGGCAGUUCAGAGGCCACCAGGAUGUGAUC